UGCCAGCCGCCGCGGUAAUACGGAGGGUGCAAGCGUUGCUCGGAAUCACUGGGCGUAAAGCGUACGCAGGCGGUUCAUUAGGUCGGGUGUGAAAGCCCAGAGCUCAACUCUGGAACUGCGCCCGAUACUGGUGGACUUGAGUACGGAAGAGGGAAGCGGAAUUCUGGGUGUAGAGGUGAAAUUCGUAGAUAUCCAGAGGAACACCAGUGGCGAAAGCGGCUUCCUGGUCCGAUACUGACGCUCAUGUACGAAAGCGUGGGGAGCAAACAGGAUUAGAUA
rnacentral:rRNA from 1 species